AGAAUCAACGCUGGCGGCGUGCCUAACACAUGCAAGUCGAACGAGAAAGUGGAGCAAUCCAUGAGUAAAGUGGCGCACGGGUGAGUAACACGUGACUAACCUACCCUUGAGUGGGGGAUAACCUAGGGAAACCUGGGCUAAUACCGCAUAAUACCUUCGGGUCAAAGGAGCAAUUCGCUUAAGGAGGGGGUCGCGGCCGAUUAGUUAGUUGGCGGGGUAAUGGCCCACCAAGACUGUGAUCGGUAUCCGGCCUGAGAGGGCGCACGGACACACUGGAACUGAAACACGGUCCAGACUCCUACGGGAGGCAGCAGUGGGGAAUUUUGCGCAAUGGGGGAAACCCUGACGCAGCAACGCCGCGUGGAGGAUGAAAUCCCUUGGGAUGUAAACUCCUUUCGAUAGGGAAGAUAAUGACGGUACCUAUAGAAGAAGCCCCGGCUAACUUCGUGCCAGCAGCCGCGGUAAUACGAGGGGGGCAAGCGUUGUUCGGAAUUAUUGGGCGUAAAGGGUGCGUAGGCGGUGCGGUAAGUCACCUGUGAAACCUCUGGGCUCAAUCCAGAGCCUGCAGGCGAAACUGCCGUGCUGGAGGGUGGGAGAGGUGCGUGGAAUUCCCCGGUGUAGCGGUGAAAUGCGUAGAUAUCGGGAGGAACACCUGUGGCGAAAGCGGCGCACUGGACCACUACUGACGCUGAGGCGCGAAAGCCGGGGGAGCAAACAGGAUUAGAUACCCUGGUAGUCCCGGCCCUAAACGAUGAUUGCUUGGUGUGAUCGGUACCCAAUCCGAUUGUGCCGCAGCUAACGCGAUAAGCAAUCCGCCUGGGGAGUACGGUCGCAAGGCUGA
rnacentral:rRNA from 1 species